UACGGAGGGUGCUAGCGUUGUUCGGAAUUACUGGGCGUAAAGGGCGCGUAGGCGGCCGUUUGCGUCGGAUGUGAAAGCCCUGGGCUCAACCUGGGAACUGCAGUGGAUACUGAGAGGCUAGAGUGUGUCAGAGGAUGGUGGAAUUCCCGGUGUAGCGGUGAAAUGCGUAGAGAUCGGGAGGAACAUCAGUGGCGAAGGCGGCCAUCUGGGACAACACUGACGCUGAGGCACGAAAGCGUGGGGAGCAAACAGG
rnacentral:rRNA from 1 species